CAUAUCAUGAUCUUUGUAAUGAAUCAUUCCUUUGAAUAGUUCUUGAAUAUGUUUUUAAACAUUUUUCAAAGAUUCUUUUGAAUAUUUUUUGAAUAUUUCUUGAAUAUUUCUUGAUUUUUUUUUAAAUCUUUUUUUUCACCAACCACUAACCCACUGGUUCCCAAUGGGGAUCACUCCUUUUGUUUUCCUGGCAACUUUGUACAAAGCAAGAUAUGUGGUAUACGCAGGUUUUCUUCCCCCUUCAUCACAUAUAAUGAUCUUUGUAUUGAAUCAUUCCUUAUAAUAUUUCUUGAAUAUUUCUUGAAUAUUUCUUGAUUUUUUUUUAAAUCUUUUUUUUUCACCAACCACUAACCCACUGGUUCCCAAUGGGGAUCACUCCUUUUGUUUUCCUGGCAACUUUGUACAAAGCAAGAUAUGUGGUAUACGCAGGUUGUCUUCCCUCUUUAUCACGUAUCAUAAUCUUUGUAAUGAAACUUUCCUUUGGAUAGUUCUUUAACAUGUUUUUGAGUAUUUUUCGAAUACCUCUUUGCAUAUUUCUUGAAUAUUUCUUGAAUAUUUCUUUAUUUUUUUUUAAAUCUUUUUUUUUUCACCAACCCUUUACCCACUGGUUCCCAAUGGGGAUCACUCCUUUUGUUUUCCUGGCAACUUUGUACAAAGCAAGAUAUGUGGUAUACGCAGGUUUUCUUCCCCCUUCAUCACAUAUAAUGAUCUUUGUAAUGAAUCAUUCCUUUGAAUAGUUCUUGAAUAUGUUCUUGAAUAUUUUCGAAUAUAUUUUAAUAUUUCUUUUAAUAUUUCUUGAAUAUUUCUUGAAUAUUUCUUGAAUAUUUCUUGAUUUUUUUUUAAUCUUUUUUUUUCACCAACCACUAACCCACUGGUUCCCAAUGGGGAUCACUCCUUUUGUUUUCCUGGAAACUUUGUAAAAAGCAAGAUAUGUGGCAUACGCAGGUUUUCUUCCCUCUUCAUCACAUAUCAUGAUCUUUGUAAUGAAUCAUUCCUUUGAAUAGUCCUUG
ensembl:lncRNA